CUUCCAGGCCAGUUGGAGGUGCUGUUUGCACUUUUUCACUAAGUUGAUUUAGUUAAUAGAAGAAAUGUAACAGGAAGUUAUUGUUUUCUCACAAAGCCUGCAAGCAUGGUGUAUCUCUUCUCAUCUACAGCCAUCCACUCCUUUACUUCCCUUUGAGUGGCAAUAUAAGCCUGAUUUCAUCUUCAUAGACGACAAUGUUCCAGCUUAUCAAGGUCACAUCAUCAGGGAACGGCUGUUGGAGACUGGUGUACCUCAAAUGGAAUGGCCUGCACUUUCUCCAGACCUGAAUCCCAUUGAAAACCUGUGGAAUCAGCUGAGCCACCUUGUAGAGGCUCGAAACUCUGCACCCCAGAACCUGAAUGACCUGAGGGCUGCCGUUCAAGAAGAGUGGGAUACCAUGCCCCAACAGAAAAUAAGUCGACUUGUGAACAGCAUAAGACGUCAUUGUCAAGCUGUAAUUGAUGCUCAAGGGCACAUGACGAGUUAUUGAGACGUUAUAAUUUUUUGUUGUUGUGUACCCACCAUUGUUGUUAACUUUUGUUUCAAUAAAUUGUUUGAGAUGAGGAAAUCACCAGUGCAUUCUUUUACUUAAAUGUCCUACUUUCAUAAUAUGAUAUCACUGUAGCGUGAACCUUUUACAUUUACCAUAAAAUUCACAUGAAAGCCAAAUAUCCCUAACUUUUUGUGAGUAGUGUAUUUAUCAGAACAUGCAACUACAGUCCAAGUCUUCUUUACAUCGCUGCGAUUAACAAGAAAAAGAAAUGUAGUGGAAACAUGAAUAUCUUCUCAAGAGACAGUCCUGUUAACUCCACCUUUUUCAUCCAGCCUGUGAUAUCUCAAAGUUUGAAUAAGGACUCCUGUUAAUUCAUCUGAUUCCUCACCCUUAGGCCUUAGAACAAAGGCUAGACUUCCUGUCGCCAGUUAAUUGGUUUAUCACCUCUUUCAGGAUAAGGCUGGAAUAAACAUUGUUUGACAUCAAAAGACUCCCAUCAGAUUUAUUUGUGGGUCAGCAACGCCACUCUGAAAAUAUUUUAUUUAUUUGUCACCCAUGUUUUCCGUUUAUAACUAUAAAAAAAGCAUCUGUGAAGUGUCAAAACAAUACCUUGGUACUCUGAUUUUAAUUACUGUAAUAAUCAUGACAUUGUUUAAGUAACUUGAUCUGGUUGAUUAACUAUUACUCUGUUCUUCUGUUACAUGUCUGGAGGGUGUCAUGUGACCACCGCAGAAAGUCUUAACCAAUGAGAAGUUCCGUUGUGAACAGGGAGUAUUUCGUUGUUCUGCCAUGUAGAGAGUUCUGAAGAAGCGUUUUGAGGAGAAAGCAGUUGUUUUUCAGUUCCAGCUUCCCCCAUCCCGGGGCGAGCUAGGCCAUUCUUUUCCACUUUUUACUUUUCAUAGUUUAAUCGUAAGGAGCUUCCAGGAGGUAGAUUUACAUUGAUUAAAACGAUGAGGCUGAUUUAAUUCAAGUCGGACGACCUCAGUGUGCUCGCAAGGAACGCAGCCACGGUGCUGGACAACAUCUCCAGUGAAUGCAGCCAGCAAACCAGAUGACCAGGGAACUUCUACACAACACAGAUAAGACUCGGUUGGACUUCACGUGCCACCCAAUUAGCC